GCGCAGCAUCACACUUUGGGCUCCAUCAGCCCAUGUGCAAGCCUAUUUAUACGGCGCCGUUCAGAAUUAAUACGGAGCAAGUUUUUCUCCCACGGAAGGUUUUCCCGCUCAUAUCCAUGGCUCCCAAAUCGGAUAGUGCUGAAGGAAUCGUCCUCAACUUCGUGAAUGAACAAAAUAGGCCUUUGAAUUCACAAAAUGUGGCCGAUUCCCUGCAAAAGUUUAAUCUAAAAAAGGCUGCCAUACAAAAAGCCUUGGAUAGCCUUGCAGAUGGUGGGAAAAUAUCAUUCAAAGAGUAUGGCAAGCAGAAAAUAUACAUGGCUAGGCAAGAUCAGUUCGACAUCCCAAACAGCGAAGACCUCAACCAGAUGAAAGAGCAGAAUUCCAAGCUCCAAGAACAGCUUGCUGAAAGAAAGAAAGCCAUCUCUGAGGUUGAAGCAGAGGUCAAGGCACUGCAAUCAAAUUUGACACUCGAUCAGAUACUAGCCAGGCAGAUCCAACUGGGAAACGAGGUUAAGCAGAUGGAGGAUAAGUUGACAAAGCUGAGGCAAGGGAUUACUCUGGUGAGUCCAGAGCAGAGGCAGGUCGUGGAAAAGAUGUAUAUGGAGAUGAUGAAUCAGUGGAGACGACGCAAGAGGAUGUUCAAGGAUGUAUGGAGUGCCAUCACAGAAAACUCACCCAAGAACCCUAACGAAUUCAAGGAGGAACUUGGUCUGGAGUACGACGAGGAUUGUGGUGUCAGCUUGCAGUCCUUCGAUGAACUAGGGCAGGGCGUAAACAAGCGAGCCAAACGCAAAUGAGCAAUCAAGAAGGGAAUUUGACAGAAACGAAGCUUUUCUUGAUAACAAAGCAGUGGAAGAUUCAGGAAUAUGAUGGCGUUUUAUGUAUUACACUUUUUCUACUGUUUAAAAAUAGAAUACGCAAGAAAAAGGAGCAGCUCAUCAGAGCAUGACCACAAGCCCUUCUCCACAGGCGCCACCAGCUUUCCCAAAUUCACAGCACCAGCCAUGAAUUUCCAUGCUGGAUAUUUUGUCACCAGACGGCAGAAUGGCAUAUUCACCAGCAGAGGGGGAAGCAGAUCCAAGAUACUAUGCUAGUUCGUGAUAAUGAGAUUCGAAAUCUUGAUUGAAAUUUAGGGCAAUUAUAUUGUUGUAUAUCUAUCGAUACUUUUAUACAGGAGUAUGUUAUUUUCAACGUGAAUAGUCAAAAAAUUUGGAUAUUAUGCUAGUUCGUAAGAUGAGAUUUCAAAAUCUUGAUUGAAAUUGAGCCAAUGGAAUUGUUGGAAGAA